rnacentral:rRNA from 1 species
AAUGAACGUUGGCGGCGUGGAUUAGGCAUGCAAGUCGAGCGGUAGGGAACUGCUCACUUCAAGCUGUUUGGCUAACGGCUAAAAGCUAAUAGCUUACAGCUUCGAAGUGAGCAGUUCCUGAGAGCGGCGAAAGGGAGAGUAACGCGUAGUUACGUGCCCCGAGGCCCGGAAUAGCCACGGGAAACUGUGGGUAAUGCCGGAUGUUGUCUUCGGACUAAAGGUGUGAUUCCACCUUGGGAGCGGACUGCGUUGUACUAGCUAGUUGGUAGGGUAAUGGCCUACCAAGGCGAUGAUGCAUAGCGGGUGUGAGAGCAUGACCCGUCUCACUGGGACUGAGACACUGCCCAGACACCUACGGGUGGCUGCAGUCGAGAAUCUUCGGCAAUGGGCGAAAGCCUGACCGAGCGACGCCGCGUGUGGGAUGAAGGCCUUCGGGUUGUAAACCACUGUCGUAGAGGAGGAAGGCUCCGUGAAGAACGGGGUUUGACCUAUUCUAGGAGGAAGGACGGGCUAAGUUCGUGCCAGCCGCCGCAGUAAA